CCUACGGGAGGCAGCAGUGAGGAAUAUUGGUCAAUGGGCGCGAGCCUGAACCAGCCAAGUAGCGUGAAGGAUGACUGCCCUACGGGUUGUAAACUUCUUUUAUAAAGGAAUAAAGUGAGGCACGUGUGCCUUUUUGUAUGUAUUUUAUGAAUAAGGAUCGGCUAACUCCGUUCCAGCAGCCGCGGUAAUACGGAGGAUGCGAGCGUUAUCCGGAUUUAUUGGGUUUAAAGGGUGCGUAGGCGGAAGGCCAAGUCAGCGGUAAAAUCGCGGGGCUCAACCUCGACCCGCAGUUGAUACUGGCGGUCGUGAGUGGGCGAGAAGUAGGCGGAAUGCGUGGUGUAGCGGUGAAAUGCAUAGAGAUCACGCAGAACUCCGAUGGCGAAGGCAGCAUACCGGCGGCCAACUGACGCUGAAGCACGAAAGCGUGGGUAUCGAACAGGAUUAGAUACCCGAGUAGUC
rnacentral:rRNA from 1 species